GCUUAUCUGCUCUGACUUGACUCUGAAUUGUGUUUUUAGGGAGAGACAGCAACCAAAGCAAGAUGGCCGGGUAUAAAACACUAGGCUUAAAAGCGGGACCAGCCCCAGCCCGCCAUUAAUGCAAUUCUUUUCACCUCCCUCUAGCUCCAUAUUAAUUGUGCUACUUGUCAAUCUAAAGCUUAGCUCAAACCAGGAAGAGAGCUUCAAAAGGGUACCUUGU
rnacentral:misc_RNA from 1 species